GUGAUGUUGAAAGCCCUUCGUGAAAAUUGAAUUUAAUGGCGAUUGUGAUUCUGUCCCGGGGGAAAUGCGGCCUCUCCACCUGCACCACUCGCUACCUGAUGGCCAUGGCAACGGCCG